CUUUAAGCAGAUUGUAUUUUUUUUACAAAAAUCAAUUUAAAAAUGUUUGAAUAAUUUAGCAUAGAAAUAAAAUAAUAAGAUUUAGAAAGAUAAGAUUUGGUAAUUAUGUAGCAAAUAAUGAUAAAUAGGAAUAGUUGGGGGUAUUUGUAUUGAAUAGUCAGAGGUGAAAUUCAAGGAUUUGUUCAAGACAAACAUCAGCGAAAGCAUUUACCAAAGAUAUUUCCAUUAAUCAAGAACGAAAGUUAGGGGGAUCGAAGAUGAUCAGAUACCGUCGUAGUCCUAACCAUAAACAAUACCAACCAAAGAUAAGAGGUUGUAAAAUAACACUGUUAAAUUUUUUUUAAGAGUGUUAAACCAACUCCUUUUGAAUUUUAGAGGGAAACCAUUGAGUAUUUGGGUUCUGGGGGGAG
rnacentral:rRNA from 1 species